UUGAUAGCCCUGGAGAGAGAGACUCUUGUUAUUCACAGAACAAGUACAGCAUGGGAAUCAGGAGCCAGACUUCCCCACACUGUCUUACAGCUGUGUGGCAAGAAGGAACUUAACCAUGUAAAUGUUGGCAGGGUAAUAUAGUGUCCAAGCCCAUAUCCUUGACUGGUCUGCU
rnacentral:sRNA from 1 species